rnacentral:rRNA from 1 species
CAGCCGCCGCGGUAAUACCGGCGGCCCGAGUGGUGGCCGCUAUUAUUGGGCCUAAAGCGUCCGUAGCCGGGCCCGUAAGUCCCUGGCGAAAUCCCACGGCUCAACCGUGGGGCUUGCUGGGGAUACUGCGGGCCUUGGGAGCGGGAGAGGCCGAGGGUAUUCCCGGAGUAGGGGUGAAAUCCUAUAAUCCCGGGAGGACCACCUGUGGCGAAGGCGCUCGGCUGGAACGCGUCCGACGGUGAGGGACGAAGGCCAGGGGAGCAAACCGGAUUAGAUACCCGGGUAGUCCUGGCUGUAAACGAUGCGGACUUUGUGUCGGACAAGCUAUGAGCUUGUCCGGUGCCGGAGGGAAACCGUUAAGUCCGCCGCCUGGGGAGUACGGCCGCAAGGCUGAAACUUAAAGGAAUUGGCGGG